rfam:Habropoda laboriosa contig7369, whole genome shotgun sequence.
CAAUGGGCCCCUUUAGGGGCCACACAUUUUUUAAUGUAAAAACAA